AUUGAACGCUGGCGGCAGGCUUAACACAUGCAAGUCGAGCGGGGUGAUGGUGCUUGCACUAUCACUUAGCGGCGGACGGGUGAGUAAUGCUUAGGAAUCUGCCUAUUAGUGGGGGACAACAUCUCGAAAGGGAUGCUAAUACCGCAUACGUCCUACGGGAGAAAGCAGGGGAUCACUUGUGACCUUGCGCUAAUAGAUGAGCCUAAGUCGGAUUAGCUAGUUGGUGGGGUAAAGGCCUACCAAGGCGACGAUCUGAAGCGGUUCUGCGAGGAUGAUCCGCCACACUGGGACUGAGACACGGCCCAGACUCCUACGGGGGGCAGCAGUGGGGAAUAUUGGACAAUGGGGGGAACCCUGUUCCAGCCAGGCCGCGUGUGUGAAGAAGGCCUUAUGGUUGUAAAGCACUUUAAGCGAGGAGGAGGCUCUUUUGGUUAAUACCCAAGAUGAGUGGACGUUACUCGCAGAAUAAGCACCGGCUAACUCUGUGCCAGCAGCCGCCGUAA
rnacentral:rRNA from 1 species